rnacentral:rRNA from 1 species
CACGUAGGCACCAAGCGUUGUCCGGAUUUAUUGGGCGUAAAGAGCUCGUAGGCGGUUCGGUAAGUCGGGUGUGAAAACUUUGGGCUCAACCCAAAGCCUGCACUCGAUACUGCUGUGACUUGAGUCCGGUAGGGGAGUGGGGAAUUCCUGGUGUAGCGGUGGAAUGCGCAGAUAUCAGGAGGAACACCGGUGGCGAAGGCGCCACUCUGGGCCGGUACUGACGCUCAUGCACGAAAGCGUGGGGAGCAAACAGG